GAUGAACGCUAGCGGCAGGCUUAACACAUGCAAGUCGAGGGGUAGAAGUUGCUUGCAACUUUGAGACCGGCGCACGGGUGCGUAACGCGUAUGCAAUCUACCUUAUACAGAGGGAUAGCCCAGAGAAAUUUGGAUUAAUACCUCAUAGUAUAAUUGAAUGGCAUCAUUUAAUUAUUAAAGUUCCAACGGUAUAAGAUGAGCAUGCGUCCUAUUAGCUAGAUGGUAAGGUAACGGCUUACCAUGGCAACGAUAGGUAGGGGUCCUGAGAGGGAGAUCCCCCACACUGGUACUGAGACACGGACCAGACUCCUACGGGAGGCAGCAGUGAGGAAUAUUGGACAAUGGGCGCAAGCCUGAUCAGCCAUGCCGCGUGCAGGAAGAAGCAUCUAUGGUGUGUAAACUGCUUUUGUACGGGAAGAAACACCCCUUCGUGAAGGGACUUGACGGUACCGUAAGAAUAAGGAUCGGCUAACUCCGUGCCAGCCGCCGCGGUAAUAC
rnacentral:rRNA from 1 species